rnacentral:tRNA from 1 species
AGUUCCGUAGCUCAGGGGUAGAGCACUACCUUGACACGGUAGGGGUCAGCGGUUCAAAUCCGCUCGGAACUA